AGGUCUGAAGCAAUACCAGGGGAAGAAAGGAAAACUCUUGAAAGCUUGUCUUUUAAGGAUUAGAGUCGCCACUGACCGAGAGCUUACAAAGAAGCUAAGAGAGGUCCUUCAGAGGCCAAGAGAGGUUACACAGAUGUAGCACAGAGCUGCAGAGGGACAUCGCAGCAUAGUUAAGUGCAAGUGUCCAAAACCAGUUACAGAUUAUGCAAAUUCUGUCUGAUAUGCAGAUGGACAAUAGAUGGAGAGAAAAAAAAUCAACUUUUGGGAGUGUUGGUUGAGCACUUUAAACACCAGCAGGACACUGCCUCCAGCAUAUCAUCUGUCACCAGCACACGAGCAGAAACACCAGGAUCAGCUAGAACAAGGAGAACAAGGCAAUCCACUACAGGCACCUCAGCUCCCUCAUCCAAAAAGCCAAAGAAAAAAUAAAUAUUAUUAUAGUUUACCAUGAA